UUUAUUGAAACUGUGUAGAUUGUCUUUUCUCGCGGUCUUCUUGUGGAUUUUUGUUUUACUCACUAGUUCGUAUACCCGUUGAAGUAACAUGAUCAACAAAACACGUUUGAUAGAACAAUAAAAGAAAAGAAAUACGAAGUGAAGUGAAACGAAUUGAAGUGAAAAGGCGAUAAUGAAGUUUAAGAACAAAGGAACCAUCAUUACUGUGCACUAAAAGCUUGGAAGAAGUAAAUUAAUCGAUUGUUGUGUCCAAUACGUUUGAAUUUACUCCCUUUCAAGUGUCAUAUCAAGAAAAGUACUUCAAAAAUUAAGUGGGCCAUGUUCAGGACUCCAGAAAAGGGCUGGAUUAAAUUGACAUUCGAGUGGGCCAGGAAUGAACUACCACUUUUUUGCUACUUACUAGGGUUGCUGAUUAUAAAAGUGAUGCAGUCAAUCCUGCUUGUAAAGCUCCAUCAAAGUAUUUCAGCUGAAAAUCGGUUUACGGAAGUCCCAGUGGAUUGAUAGGAUAAUCAUUAUACUAUUGAGAGGUAAUAAAAGAAGCAGUUUCAAUGAUUCAACGAUAAAAUGGGCAAGUCUAAGGUGAUCUAAGGGAUUUAACAUUGAUCAGAGGGGGACGUUCCUUGGAGAUGCAUCAAUAGCAGUGAUAGAGAAUCAAGGACGAUAUCAGAUGAUGGAUAAAACGUCCACCAGGGUCUUGGGUCAUGGUCAGUAGCAACGGGAAAUUCUAGAGAUCGACUGAUCUUCAAAUACUCGUGGAAAUGUCACUCCAGAUACUGAAUUUAUGAGUUGAAUUAAGGAAAAACCCAAAGCAGCAUUUUGCAGAUGUCAAAACUACCUAGACAUUCAACCUUUCGCUUGGAUUUCCUCAUCGUUACCAGAAUUCAAAAUACAUCUACUUUUAUUUAUCACUAUCCUAUUGAUCGUUAUCAUCCUGCUUUACGAAAAUAAUCAAGUAAAUCAAUUGAAUACAAUUCAAUGUAAGAAUAACGUCGAAGUUCCAGACUCAUUGAUUUAUAGUUUUCUCCAAAGUUCUUGACAUCUGUUCCAGUAUUAUUGGAUCGAGAACGUGCCUUAAUCUUGAAGAUAAUUUAAUACAUGAAGUCGAUGUACUACUUGUGGUCACUUGGUGGACUUUGAUAAUGUCAAUAAAAAAUGAUUCACAAUGAAAUAAGUACUGAUGAUAACGAUGAUUUACUGAUUAAAUUGUUAUCAAUUGAACUCAUCAAAUCUCAUGAUGAUGAUGAUAAUAUAUUAUCAGUGUUUCAAUUCUGUUAAAUACAGAUUUAUCAGAUAGAUGAAUUCAAUUGAAAUCAUUAGAUUGAGUUAAGAAUAAACAAGAAGAUGAUUUAACUAUGUAUUAAUAUUAAAGCUGAUCCUGAAACGCAAACCUUAUAUACAUAUAUGGAAGGCUUACUUUUCCAAUUAGUAAUAAUUUGGGAGUUACAAUAGAUACAAUUGAUUUUAUAAAUUCUGUAUUACUGAAUUAAGUUCAUGUAUCAUUCAAGUAGCGAUAGUACUAAUAAAGUGAUGAAGUGAUUGAAUCAACAUCGCAUAUCCAUGAAACAAAUCACGCACCAACAGACUAACAUGAAAUUUCUAAAGGUUUUAAUGCCAGUAAACAAAUACACAUGCUGUUGAGAAGAUGGAAUUGAGCUGCAGAAUGUCGGUUAUAAGGUGACGCAAAGGAAAAAGCCUAUUUUUCAACGUUGAACAUAAAAAUAAGGUCAUAUGCAUGUUAUAUUGCUCGUUUUACAGUCCAACUUCUAUUCUUUCAAGCAACAACGGUAUACUGUUUUUCACUGUUACCGGAGUCUUAGCAUUAUUCAGCUUGUUAUAAUGAUGUGAUGAGUUUUUCUCUUUUUUUAUGACUAAAUGAAAAUGAAAAUCUAAAAAAAACUACAAUAUUAAAAAGAGCAAUUGCUUUAGUACGUGAAUACUUUUUUCUGUUACUUCUCAUUACAAGGAGAUAUUAAAAUAUUUUUUAUUGGUUAUGAAGUCGUAUAAUAAACCGUAGUAUUCCACAAAACAAGACACAUAAAUUUUAUCACUAGAAUAGUUAAUAAAUUUUAAUUAAAAUCAUUUGAUGUUAUGAACAACAAGACAAAAAAUUCAAUAAUAUUCAUAGACAUCGACCGCUCGUCUUGGAGAAGGUAUAAAUGACCAAAAAGCUUUCUGACCGUCUGUUUCACAAAGGCUGUAUGUUAAAAAACUUUAAUCGCCUUACUCACAGAAAUCAUAUCUGUCAAAAAAACCCUGGCCGUCAGUCAGUGGCUUGUUAUUAUUGCCAACAACACUUCUCCUUUUAAAUGAAAUUAAGAUGAAGUUCUCGACAUGUUUUUCUUACUUCUUUAAAAAAAAGUACUUUACAUUAAAGUUUCCAUCGAAAUAAAUGAUAAAUUAUCAUGUUGGAGUACUGUGGAGUAGUCUCUUUAAUUAAUCCAUGGUCAUAAGAACAUACAGACACUUUUUUUUUUAUUUUUUGUGAAUUAUUGUUUUAAGAAUUUUUUUACUUGCUAAUGAGAAGUA